ACAGCAGCAGCCACGGGAAUACGAGGGGAGCUAGCGUUGUUCGGAAUUACUGGGCGUAAAGCGCGCGUAGGCGGCUUUUUAAGUCAGAGGUGAAAGCCCGGGGCUCAACCCCGGAAUUGCCUUUGAAACUGGAAAGCUAGAAUCUUGGAGAGGUCAGUGGAAUUCCGAGUGUAGAGGUGAAAUUCGUAGAUAUUCGGAAGAACACCAGUGGCGAAGGCGACUGACUGGACAAGUAUUGACGCUGAGGUGCGAAAGCGUGGGGAGCAAACAGGAUUAGAUACCCCAGUAGUCCCUGUCUCUUAUAC
rnacentral:rRNA from 1 species